GAUGAACGCUGGCGGCGUGCCUAAUACAUGCAAGUCGAGCGAACAGACGAGGAGCUUGCUCCUCUGAUGUUAGCGGCGGACGGGUGAGUAACACGUGGAUAACCUACCUAUAAGACUGGGAUAACUUCGGGAAACCGGAGCUAAUACCGGAUAACAUGUUGAACCGCAUGGUUCAACAGUGAAAGACGGUCUUGCUGUCACUUAUAGAUGGAUCCGCGCCGCAUUAGCUAGUUGGUAAGGUAACGGCUUACCAAGGCAACGAUGCGUAGCCGACCUGAGAGGGUGAUCGGCCACACUGGAACUUAGACACGGUCCAUACUCCUACGGGAGGCAGCAGUAGGGAAUCUUCCGCAAUGGGCGAAAGCCUUACGGAGCAACGCCGCGUGAGUGAAGAAGGUCUUCGGAUCGUAAAACUCUGUUAUUAGGGAAGAACAAAUGUGUAAGUAACUAUGCACGUCUUGACGGUACCUAAUCAGAAAGCCACGGCUAACUACGUG
rnacentral:rRNA from 1 species